AGUGAACGCUGGCGGUAGGCCUAACACAUGCAAGUCGAACGGCAGCACAGAGGAGCUUGCUCCUUGGGUGGCGAGUGGCGGACGGGUGAGGAAUACAUCGGAAUCUACUCUGUCGUGGGGGAUAACGUAGGGAAACUUACGCUAAUACCGCAUACGACCUACGGGCGAAAGCAGGGGACCUUCGGGCCUGGCGCGAUUGAAUGAGCCGCUGUCGGAUUAGCUAGUUGGCGGGGUAAAGGCCCACCAAGGCGACGAUCCGUAGCUGGUCUGAGAGGAUGAGCAGCUACACUGGAACUGAGACACGGUCCAGACUCCUACGGGAGGCAGCAGUGGGGAAUAUUGGACAAUGGGCGCAAGCCUGAUCCAGCCAUACCGCGUGGGUGAAGAAGGCCUUCGGGUUGUAAAGCCCUUUUGUUGGGAAAGAAAUCCAGCUGGCUAAUACCCGGUUGGGAUGACGGUACCCAAAGAAUAAGCACCGGCUAACUUCGUGCCAGCCGCCGCCGUAA
rnacentral:rRNA from 1 species